rnacentral:tRNA from 3 species
GCGAGUGUGCUGGAACUGGUAGACAGGCACGUUUGAGGGGCGUGUGCUCAUAAGGCGUACGGGUUCAAGUCCCGUCACUCGCACCA